rnacentral:rRNA from 1 species
UACAGAGGGGGCAAGCGUUGUUCGGAAUUACUGGGCGUAAAGGGAGCGUAGGCGGCGUGGUAAGUCAGAUGUGAAAUCCCGGGGCUCAACCCCGGAACUGCAUCCGAUACUGCCAUGCUUGAGGGUUGGAGAGGUAGCUGGAAUUCUCGGUGUAGCAGUGAAAUGCGUGGAUAUCGAGAGGAACACUCGUGGCGAAGGCGAGCUACUGGACAACAUCUGACGCUG